GGUGCAAUGAUUCUGCAAGCUCUCUGAACAUCAGUGGCUUCAGGCAAAAUCAGAACCACGGUAUGUCAAACAGGGCCACGGGAGAGGAGAACUGAGGUUUCAUUGCAAACAGAAUGGUUUACAGUGCCUUGAAUGGACAGCAUUCAACUUCCAAAAGCUCACCUGUUUGUGAAGAACGCCACCCAUGGGAAACUUCUGUUGUGAGUCUCUACAAAAAUGCACUGUGCAAAGAGAUUUGGGGAGCAGCUGUGCUGUAAAACAGAAUAUUUGAAUUAGAAACAGUACACCUCAUAA